CUCCUCUUUCGCUCAUCAUUCACCAGAUUUUCUCAUCUCCUCCUUCCCUUUCUCAUCUCCUCCUCCUUCCCUUUCGCUACCACGUCUCCUUUUCCUUCUCCUUCAAGCCCACCAUGAAGACCACCACGGAGACCACCACGAGCACUUGCAACACCACGAACCGGUGAAGAAUCAAGGUGUUGCUUUUGGAAUUUUGAUUUCAAUGUUGUAGUUUUUUUAUUCUUUGACGUGUAAUUUUUUUUUUCUGGAUUUUGAUGUUGUAAUUUAUUUUAUUUUUUUGUAUUGUAAAAUAACAAUUUAAUCAUCAAUAUAUUUCGUAUUAUUCAAGCUUGUUAUAUGUUUCUGAUUAUAUUUCUUAUUUAAUGAUCAAUUUUGAUCAAUAUUCAUUUCAUUUAAGUGGAUAAAUAUUAUGUGUGUAUGUGGAUAAAGCAAACUAAAAGAAAGAUUUUUAAAAAAAUACAUGAAUUGGCACCGGUGCCAAUUGACUUUAAUUCCCAA